rnacentral:rRNA from 1 species
UACGUAGGGUGCGAGCGUUAAUCGGAAUUACUGGGCGUAAAGCGUGCGCAGGCGGUUCGCCAAGUCAGGUGUGAAAGCCCCGAGCUUAACUCGGGAAUUGCAUCUGAAACUGCUGUGCUUGAGUUCUGGAGGGGGUAGUGGAAUUCCCAGUGUAGCGGUGAAAUGCGUAGAUAUCAGGAGGAACACCGGUGGCGAAGGCGGGUCUCUGGGCAGUAACUGACGCUGGAGGAGCGAAAGCGUGGGGAGCGAACAGG